AGUAAAGCGUUGUCAAUGUUGUGAACGGUUGUAAACAACUCGUCCCCUCUUCUUGUUUAUUUCUUUUCAUUACGAGUCCCAACAUUACAGUUUCUUCGUCGACUAUCAUGGUUUUAUCUCUCGGGCUCGCGCUCCACCGGAACAACUUCAGCAGGGCCGGAGAAUGGUGCGUUUGUUUGUUGGCAGGGCCUGGGCUGUCUGUAUCCAGAAGGCCGGAGCAUCUCCCUGAUCUCCUUGCAGUUAAAGUGGCAUCUCCCUAAAAUUGUCAAGACGACAGGCACCAAUGUAGUAACCACACAAAUACAUAAAUAGUGCAUAACACAAAAAACGGAAAAUAUUACAAAGAACUCAAGUCAAAAACAUGUCACGUCGCACAUGUCUGAAGUGCAUGUCACACCACUGGAAAGCCUUAAUCAUCAUAUCUGAUUCCAUUGAUGCAAGCAUAAGUUCUCAUUAGGUGUGUGAUCAUACCUGGUUACGCGUCCGUACAGCGUGUCUGUCCUCCUGUGGUCCAGCAUCUCAGCGCACACAUGCCAGAAGCGUAUGUUAAACCACUGGAAAACAAAAACAAGUCUGUGACCUCUGCUUCUUAUAGAAAUGCAAGAAAUUAUAUUCACGUCUGUGACCUCUGCUUCUUAU
ensembl:lncRNA